rnacentral:rRNA from 1 species
AACACGUGGGAACGUGCCUUUAGGUUCGGAAUAGCUCCUGGAAACGGGUGGUAAUGCCGAAUGUGCCCUUCGGGGGAAAGAUUUAUCGCCUUUAGAGCGGCCCGCGUCUGAUUAGCUAGUUGGUGGGGUAAUGGCCCACCAAGGCUACGAUCAGUAGCUGGUCUGAGAGGAUGACCAGCCACAUUGGGACUUAGACACGGCCCAAACUCCUACGGGAGGCAGCAGUGGGGAAUCUUGCGCAAUGGGCGAAAGCCUGACGCAGCCAUGCCGCGUGUAUGAUGAAGGUCUUAGGAUUGUAAAAUACUUUCACCGGUGAAGAUAAUGACUGUAGCCGGAGAAGAAGCCCCGGCUAACUUCGUGCCAGCAGCCGCGGUAAUACGAAGGGGGCUAGCGUUGCUCGGAAUUACUGGGCGUAAAGGGAGCGUAGGCGGACAUUUAAGUCAGAGGUGAAAUCCCGGAGCUUAACUUCGGAACUGCCUUUGAUACUGGGUGUCUUGAGUGUGAGAGAGGUAUGUGGAACUCCGAGUGUAGAGGUGAAAUUCGUAGAUAUUCGGAAG